rnacentral:rRNA from 1 species
AUACGGAGGGUGCAAGCGUUAUCCGGAUUUAUUGGGUUUAAAGGGUCCGUAGGCGGAUUAAUCAGUCAGUGGUGAAAUCUCAUAGCUUAACUAUGAAACUGCCAUUGAUACUGUUAGUCUUGAGUGAUGUUGAAGUUGCUGGAAUGUGUAGUGUAGCGGUGAAAUGCUUAGAUAUUACGCAGAACACCAAUUGCGAAGGCAGGUGACUAAACAUUAACUGACGCUGAUGGACGAAAGCGUGGGGAGCGAACAGGAUUAGAUACCCUGGUAGUCCACGCCGUAAACGAUGGAUACUUGCUGUUGGGUUUUCGGAUUCAGUGGCUAAGCGAAAGUUAUAAGUAUCCCACCUGGGGAGUACGUUCGCAAGAAUGAA